rnacentral:rRNA from 1 species
ACGGAGGAUGCGAGCGUUAUCCGGAUUCAUUGGGUUUAAAGGGUGCGUAGGCGGACUAUUAAGUCAGUGGUGAAAUCCUGCAGCUUAACUGCAGAACUGCCAUUGAUACUGAUAGCCUUGAGUUUGGUUAAGGUAGGCGGAAUGUGUAAUAUACCGGUGAAAGGCCGAACUAUUACACGGAGCACAGAUGGCGUAGGGAGCGUACAGAGCCGGCACUGACGCUGAGGGGCGAAAGUGUGGGGAUGGAUGAG